rnacentral:rRNA from 1 species
UACAUGGGGUGCAAACGUUGCUCGGAAUUAUUGGGCGUAAAGCGCGCGUAGGCGGUUACUCAAGUCGGAUGUGAAAUCCCUCGGCUUAACUGAGGAAGUGCACUCGAAACUGAGUAGCUAGAGUACCAAAGAGGGUCGCGGAAUUCCCGGUGUAGAGGUGAAAUUCGUAGAUAUCGGGAGGAACACCGGUGGCGAAGGCGGCGACCUGGGUGGAUACUGACGCUGAGGCACGAAAGCGUGGGGAGCAAACAGG